AAUGAACGUUGGCGGCGUGGAUUAGGCAUGCAAGUCGCGCGAGAAGCGUAGCAAUACGUGGAAAGCGGCGUAAGGGAGAGUAAUCCAUGGUUAGCUACCCUCGGGACUGGGAUAGCGGCGGGAAACUGCCGGUAAUACCAGAUGACAUCUUCGGAUCAAAGGUGUGAAUCCGCCCGGGGAGGCGAUCAUGUCCUAUCAGCUUGUUGGCGGGGUAA
rnacentral:rRNA from 1 species